GCCGCAUCUGUAGCAUAGGUGCCCCUUGUCCUCCUUGGAGGUGCAGGUCUUGCUUACGUGUCCAAUCUCCAGGCACCUGUAACACUGUAAAGGUCUUCGCUCGAUGGCUUCAACCUUCGCUGUCGACCAACCUAUGGCGACCUGGCCAGCCUGGGCCAGUUUCCUCACUGCACCUGCCGGGGUUCUCCAUGCACCUGGAAUCUGGGAAACGGGACCAGCCGUCUCUAAACGCGGCAAGCGACGACGGCCUAGUAUACCGCCGCAUAUUCGUCAUGGACAGGGACUCGAAGAUCUCCUUCCUAGUGGACACCGACGCCGAUACAUGCGUAUACCUGCACAACAAAAUACACGGACCCGCGAACAGAAGCUAGUACGAACUGUUCGCGGCCAACGGGAUCGCGAAAUACGAGAUCAUCGGAUUCGUGGAAGAAAGCCUUCGUUAGGAAAGUGAAGGAAAUGGGCGUUGCUGUUAAUUGGUUAAUCUCUAGGUUGAUGGUUGAGGAAGAAUGCUAACUGCUCUCAAGAGAAAGUUGCUAGCGGGAAAUAUCUUUUGCACGUUUCGUCAGAAACGUUUAUGAUAGCAUGUAAAUGUCAAUAAUCAAUAAGGGAAACGAAACUGUUAAUAAGCACUGAUUGUCCACUGUUUCGCAGUCAACUGUUCCACACCAUUGCUAGAUUAUUUUUCAAUUUGAUAUGCUUAAUCCAAGAUGAAGCCACUUAGUAAAGAUAAAAAGAACAGUAUUAUUUGUUUGUGUGAUAAAGCUUUAUCGUUGCGGCAAAUUGCAGAGAAAUGUGGUGUCAGUCAUACGAUAGUUGCAAGAAUAAGAAAAAGGUAUGUUGCCCUCGAAAACUGGAACUAUUUCUAUGACACAUUCUCAUCCACAGUGGACCACAAUGAAAAUUUAACAACGGUCCAAAAGUUCCAACAUCUUCGAUCAUCCAUAACUGGAAGGGUCGCGCUGAGUAUCCAAUCAUUGGAACUCACAGAAGCCAAUUACUCGAUCGCUCUUAACACGUUGAAGGAGAAAUUUGACUGUCACCUCAGGAUCUGUAUGCGUCAUUGGGAGUUGAUACGCAAUUAUCCCGAAAUGAAGAAGGAAACUCCAGAAGCCAUAGAAGAUUUGCUGGAAACCGUCAGCGUAAAUCUCAAGGCGCUCGAAAAAUUAGGUGAGCCUGUAACAUCAAAUGUGAUGAUUAUCGAGUUGCUCGCGUCGAAAUUGCCUUCGUCCAGCAUGCGUAAGUGGCAGCGCACAUUAUCAAACAAAAGAGUGCACUCCUACCAACAUCUGAUAGAUUUUCUGCAAACACGGGCAAACGGAAAUCAACUCCUCUCUAAAGUAAAGGAGACAAAAGAGUCAACCCAUUAACAUGGCCGUCACCGACAAAACGUUCCGCAUGAGCGAACCUUCACUACAACCAGCAGGACGUUGGUGUGUCCGACCUGCAAAGGAUCCCAUGAAAUAAAACACUGUAAGGUCUUCAAAACUAAAUCGGCAACGAAAUGUUUUCAAAUCGUAAAAAGGGCAUCGCUAUGUACAAACUGCCUAGGCCAAGGACAUUCGCUUACACAAUGUACAGCGGGUUCGUGUCAUAUAUGCGGGCAACGCCAUCAUACUUACCUACAUAGAGAACAAACUCAAGUCAUUUCACGGUCGUGGAGCGGUCGGUCGUCGAGCAGUGUUGUCGAGCAGUCGGUCGUCGAGUAGUCGGUCGUCAAGCGGUCGAUCAUCGAGCAGUCGGUCAUCGAGCGGUCGGAGCAAAAGUGACUAAACGAACAGACUACAAAAAAGGAGAUCGAGUUAAUAAAUACCUCUCCAAACGUCACACUGCAUCAUGAUCUGCUGGUCACAGCAAAGAUCAAUGUUUUAAACAAAAGGGCAUUACCAAUCCGAGCCAGAGCUUUGCUAGACACUGGAUCUAGUAUGAAUUUCAUGACUGAGAAAUUCGCAAACUCCCUCGAUAUGAAACGAAGGAGAUGUACGGUCCCAAUCGGUGCCCUCGACAACUUGACUACGAUCGCGAAGAGCCGGAUAACGGCAACCAUUGCUUCUAUAGAUGGCAAAUAUGAACGUAUAGUAACAUUCGUGAUAAUUCCGACAAUAUCACCAUUAGUUCCAGACCAACCAAUCGAUCGGUCCGCAAUCCAGAUACCCAAAAAUCUAAGAUUAACCGACCCAGCAUUCCACAGACCAAGCCCGAUCGAAAUAUUAUUAAGCUCGGGACCAACUUUAGUAUCAUUAUGUGCGGGCAGAUCAAAAUACCCCAAUCCACCGAUAUUGAAUUGUGUUUGCAAAAGACUCGAUUCGGUUGGGUUAUCGGGGAGCCCACCCGCCCAAUCGGAUAUACGCUCUUUUCACGCUACCACAACCGACAUACAAGCGGAUCUCGCACGUUUUUGGGAAAUCGACGAGGGACCACCCACCAUACAUUUUUCAGAAUCGGAAUUACAAUGUGAGGAAACCAUGUCCAACGAAACAAGGAAGGGCGAUACAUCGUCGCCCUGCCAUUCAACGAGAAGCUUCCCACGUUUGGGACGUCAAGGUCCGUUGCAAUGAGUAGGCUCGCCUCUCUUUAUCGCCAAUUCCAACGCGACAAGCAAUUCGAAACCGCGUAUAGUACAGUGAUCCAAGAGUAUUUAGACUUGGGUCACAUGACGAAGAUUACGAAUAACCGUCCCUCAAACAAUUGUUAUUAUUUGCCGCAUCACGGCGUGAUAAAGGAAUCGAGUGAUACCACUAAACUUCGGGUUGGGCUCGACGGAUCGGCAAUCAGCACCACCGGAGUCUCCCUCAACGAUACUCUGUAUACAGGACCUACACUACAAGAUCUGGUUGAAAUUCUAUUGAGAUUCCGAUCACAUCAAUAUGUCCUAACGGGUGACAUUGAGAAGAUGUAUCGACAAAUCCUAGUACGCCCAGAAGAUCGGAAAUAUCAACUGAUUCUAUGGCGUAAUUCCAACGGGGAAGUCGAAACAUAUCAACUCAACACCGUGACAUUCGAACUAUCGGCCGCCCCAUACUUAGCCCUACGAUGCCUAAAACAGUUAGCAGACGACGAAAGACAUCGAUUCCCGCAAGCAUUAUCGGUUGUACAGCGUGAUUUCUAUGUCGACGACGCCCUCACCGGGGCCGAUACAAAGGAAGAAUUAUUAUCGGUAAGACACGAACUCACGGACCUUCUCAGAUCGGCCGGCUUAAACAUCCGGGAAUGGGCAUCCAACGAUACGGACAUACUGCGAGGGGUAUCCGAAAGAGACACAAAUUGAAGACUACAAUUGGGUGAGUCAUAAACGUUAAAAAUAUUAGGUAUUUAUUGGAAUUCCCAGGACGACGCAAUCCUUUACUCAGUUGAACCUACAGCGACCAUCACUUGUGUCACAAAACGAUCAAUUAGUUCGGUGAUAGCCCGAAUUUAUGACCCACUAGGAUUGUUCGCGCCAGUGAUUGUCAGAGUAAAAAUCCUACUUCAACGCGUCUGGACAUUAAAAAUCGACUGGGAUGAAUCCGUUCCAGCAGAGUUGCAUAAGUGUUGGAAAUAAAAACCUUAUAACCCUGCGAAUCACAGUGUUAUAUUAACUUAACCACCCUUAUUAUCUUAACGGAAAUCAGGGGAUCGAUCAACUCGUGGUGUCGAUUAUUAUAAUCGUAACGGGAAUUUACGACUCCCGUUGACGUAUUUCCUCGCGAUUGCGUCUCCCCGCGAUUGGUCGAAAAUACAGAUCCCUUUCGAAGUAAGCUGAAAUCCAGUAGAUUUAUCUAGGUACAUUUGACAUAAAAUAAGUAAUGUUUUAUUUUUUAAUAUGUAGAGUUUUAUGUAAAGAGGAUGUAGGUGCAUGAGAAUUAAUGACGAGAUUAGAGAUUACUUGUUGUUGUUGAAUAUAUUUCAAUCGAUAAAUUAUUACACGGUCGUAAACGCGAGUCGUUGGUGCGAAGUAUAGUCGUAAAAUAUAAUCGCGAAAUAAAUACUCGUAAAGGCCUGUCGUGUAACUUGAUAAACGCUCGUAAGAUACUCAGAAAAUACUCUUGAUGCUGCUAGAUACACAAUAUGUGCUCGAUAUGUACUGUCGUUCGCGAUUGUGUUCGUUUAUUUAUACUGGUAGGGGGAGAGUCGGAAAAUUGAAACUCGUCUUGAUUCGACGGUUGCAUGUAGCGGUGACAUUUGUCGUUAUGUUUCAUGCGUCAAGGCUAAGGCGUCGUCCUUUGACUCCUGUGCCGCUACAAAUAGCUGGCUUCGAACAUAAGAAGAAACCUACUAGUAUUGAUUUAAAUACAUUGCGGUUAUGUUUCCAAGCUUUCUUAGGGGGAACACAGAAAGAAAUGUUCAAUAUAUCAUUACCAUCAGUGGUAUCUGUUUCUAUCGUUCGCGGAGAGACGCGAUCUCGAAGAAGCGCGUCAACGGGAGUCGUAAAUUCCCGUUACAAUUCAAAUAAUCGACGCCACGAAUCGAUCGAUCCCCUAUUUCGAUUAAGAUAAUGGGAGUAGUUGAAUGUGUAUAACGCUGAUAUUAACAGAUUAUAAUCUAUAUAUUUUAAACAAUAGCUUCAAUAUUUGAUACAAUUGUAUUAUGUUGACUGCCAAACUACGAGUGAGUACGAAAAUACUUGCAGAAUUAAAGAUUCCGUUAAAAGGAUUCUGUUUAUGGUGGUUCCUUAGGUUUAUUGAGGGUCUGAAUAACGGUGCGUGGGCCUUGGACGGUCAGACAAUGAAGGACGGUGCACAGGUAUCAGGACGUAACAGCGGUAAUGUCAGGUCUUGUGAUUUGGGAGCUCAGUCGCUCUAAUAUGCCGGUGGCUAGUGGUACGAAAAAGAUUUUAUUAUACGAGAAGAUGGAAUGCAAGUUAGAUUUUCCAGGGAAAAGGGCGGAUAAAUAGUUUAGGAAAGAUUCGGUGAUUUAGAACUCGCUCGUGUACGUAAACAGAUGUCUCCUGUCGAUGCAAGUAUCACCAUAAUCGCUUCUCCACAAGCGCAAUCUAGUAUCCAAACGUUGAGGCAAUUCAAAGCUUUUGUAUAGCUAUUGUUUAAAACGUAACACACCUUGAACAAUUUCAAUACGUAAUACAAGCCACAAGUAUUGCCAGAUUGUGUGUCACCAAUGGAGUACAGUCCAUACGACUCAGUACUUACUCAAUCAAAACUAUCAAUGUAAUAUCAAUCAACAAGCAGUCAUAACGUAUAACCGGAUCAUCAACUGGAACAUAUGUAUAGCAGACAGAAUAAUUUUGACUUGGGCCUGAAUCAACUUCUUUCGGCAAAACUCGUCGAUUUUGAAAUAGCUCUUUCUGAACAUCUAUCCAGAGGAUUAUCCAUUUCAGAUUCUAUCAAGGUAUCAAGAUAAGGUAAUUGAUCGUACGGAUUCUUCCCUUGGUUGCCCAGCGCCAUCCCCACUAGCGUGCGUUCGUGAGAUGCACCACGGCGGCUAGCACGUGCAUGCUCUUUCGAAAAAUUCACCGGAAGAAGCGUGAGGAUAUGGAUGGAACAUUCUAGAUGGGCACGUCGAGAAACUACUAGAAGGUUCUGUGCCACAUGUGACGCCACACAGACACCCACACAGGUCACACUCAUUACUGCAUGGAGAGUGGGGCUCUAAACCUUUUCAAGGGCCAUGAGUCACUAAGCCAGUUAGUCUGUGAAUAACUAGCCAACUGUCUACAUUCCAGAACGCACAUUUAUAACUCUUGAAAUAAUUGUUUAAUAAAUAUCACAUUGUAUUAUUUCAACACAAA